rnacentral:tRNA from 1 species
UCCCUGGUGGUCCAGUGGUUAGGACUCUGCACUUUCACUGCUCUGGGUGCGGGUUCGAUCCCUGGUUGGGGAA